rnacentral:rRNA from 1 species
UACGUAGGGGGCAAGCGUUGUCCGGAUUUAUUGGGCGUAAAGAGCGUGUAGGCGGUUUGGUAGGUCCGCUGUGAAAACUCGAGGCUCAACCUCGAGACGCCGGUGGAAACCAUCAGACUAGAGUCCGGAAGAGGAGAGUGGAAUUCCUGGUGUAGCGGUGAAAUGCGCAGAUAUCAGGAAGAACACCUAUGGCGAAGGCAGCUCUCUGGGACGGUACUGACGCUGAGACGCGAAAGCGUGGGGAGCAAACAGG